rnacentral:rRNA from 10 species
CUCCGUUGGUGAACCAGCGGAGGGAUCAUUG